rnacentral:rRNA from 1 species
AGAGCGAACGCUGGCGGCGUGCUUAACACAUGCAAGUCGAACGCGCAGCAUUCUGUAGCAAUACAGGAUGUGGGCGCGUGGCGAACGGGUGCGUAACACGUGGAUAACCUUCCUUCAGGUGGGGAAUAACCCAGCGAAAGUUGGGCUAAUACCGCAUAACAUGACGAUGCCACAUGGUGUUGUCUUCAAAGGCGCAAAGUCGCCAGAAGAGGGAUCCGCGGCCGAUUAGCUUGUUGGCGAGGUAAUGGCUCACCAAGGCAUUGAUCGGUAGCCGGACUGAGAGGUUGGCCGGCCACACUGGAACUGAGACACGGUCCAGACUCCUACGGGAGGCAGCAGUGGGGAAUCUUGCACAAUGGACGAAAGUCUGAUGCAGCAACGCCGCGUGGGGGAUGAAGCUUCUCGGAGUGUAAACCCCUUUCGACCCGGACGAAUGCCCGCAAGGGUUUGACGGUACGGGUAUAAGAAGCCCGGCUAACUACGCGCCAGCAGCCG